rnacentral:lncRNA from 1 species
GACUGGGGUGGUUGUCUAUUUAUCCAGCAGUAACCAAUCAUUCCUUCCAGUCUCUCAGUUCAAGGAGAGCCCCUCCUCUUUGCUGAGUGUUUCUUUCCUCUCUCAUUUGUCUGUUGGAAGCUGUUUUUGUAGGUUGCUGUAGAUCUGUUUACGAUUGUAAAUAAUGAAAUGUUUUUUAUUCUCUCUACUACAGUAUGAAUGUCUCAGAAUAAGUUAUUAUUGAGACUUUAAAUGCCAGUUAAUGAGAAAGGGUUAGGCUGUCUGGGAAACCUUUGUGAGUAUUUCUACCACAAAGAAAAAGGAAUUUUUACCAGAAAUACAAAACUCUGCAACAGAGUGAAGGUGCAAUUCAAGUAGUAUCAAAGGAAUUGGGUACUUGGCUGCAGAAUCAGAGGUUUCAUUCCCCACUUCUGGGAGAAGAUACAGCCUGUGUGGAAUUUGUGUGGGAUUUGGCAAGAGUCCCAGGAUGCCCUUGGAGAAGAAGGAAACGGUGAACCACUUCUGAGUAUUCUCUAGCUAGAAAACCAUGGAAAGGAUCAUUAAUAUUCAGAAUCAACUUGACAUUAUUUAAUGAUGAUAAUGAUGAUUAUUAUACAGGAGUAUAAGGGGACUGCAGAGAAGCGGAAUUAAUCCUUUGUGUCUCUCUUCAUUGCAGUGGGUGUAGGAUAGAUAUGUGCCUGAUUUCAGGAAGAAGCUAUGAAAACCUGAGUUAAAAACUAGUGAAAAGGAGAUAAAUCUUGGUGCUUUAUAUGCCUAGUGAAAUGAUGGGACUUUCUACCCUUUUCCUUACUCUGCAGUCUUCAAUGUCACCCAAAAUCCUGGUUUUCAAGCCUUCUGGAAACAGAUGUUUGUGGCACUCUAAAAAGCACCCCAUUCCAGUUUCACCAGAAUGGCCCUAUUGGAUUCAUGAACCAAGCUGGAGGCAUCUUCCUCCAUUGGUCAUGACACACAUUCCAAGCUUGGUCAACAAGUCACCACUGGCUGAAUCACAUCAAAGUGUUGUUCUCCAGACAGAGACAGCCAUACUGCCAGUGGGACCUUUCUCUUCUCAGAGAGCAAGAGUUCUGUCUGAUUAAAUUUCCACUGCUGUUGCUGUAUACAGAAAGAUCAAUGAAAUUGCAAGACCUUUUGAGUAUUAUUCCUAGCAGUUCUGGGCAACUCACUGGAAGAAAGAACAGCACAGUCCUGGACACGUCUAUUCAGAAAUAAAGCCAACGGAUUUCACUGGGACCUACUCUUG